GGGGAUCACCCGGAUGCUGGCUGGGGAUCAUCGCUGCACACGGGCCUCCGUGAACACGCGUCAGAAUCAGGCAGCCUCCGGCCUGCUGCGCACGUCGUUCCUGCACACCGAGGCCGCUGUGGGUCCAGCUUCCCCAGAGACCCCAGCCCUGGGCUCCGCCAGCACCACCCACCCCGCUCCAGCCCAGGGAUGGAGCCGCCGCCUUCUCUCCCGGCCUCUGAGUUGCCUCCCAGCCCCCGUCUGACUUCUCAGCUCUCCCGUCCCCUCCGUAACCCACUCCCUGCCUCAGUCUCCUGUGUGGUAAAUACGCGAGUUCUGCAGUGAGGCCCCAACUGCUGCAUCCUUGGAUUAAUUUAAGGAUCCAAGGACAGAGGCCAGAGAAGCCUGCAUGGACCUGGGUAUCAGACGCAGAAGUAAUGGAGCAUUAGUCACCUUCAUCACCACGUUCUCAGUCAGCGAGGUCAGGUGCACGUCCAGACCUGAUGGACGCUCCUUCACAGGGACCUCCGGUGCGCAAACAGGACUCCAUGGAGAGCAGCUCGGGGGCAAGGACAGGCUUCUCUAAAGCAUGGUGAGGCACCGCUGUCACUGAGGAUGCACGGUCCUCUCCUUGCCCUGGAAGCAGAGAACGAGAAUGUGCAGCCACAAAGGAAGCCGAGUUUGAGCUAGUUCCAUUUCACCAUCAAAGGCAGGGCAUGAGGAGCGAUGGGGAGAGAAACGUGGAUGCGAAGAGGCGCCUGCCGCCUGUGUUCUCACAAAGCCACAGAGCAUGGACCUGCUCCCCCUACCCCCCAGCGCCAGCCUGGCCUGGGAAUGUGGAGUGGUAAUUCCAGUCGGCAGGAAGACUCUGCUCCAUGCGGUCAUUCAGGGGCCCAGGCUGAUGGCUGCUAAGCUACCAUCAACAUGCGGUUUCCAGGGUCACCUGGGCAUCACCACCUCAGUCAACAGGAAGAUGGGAGGGGCAUGUCAGGUGCCUCCACAGGAGGUUUAGGGCCCAGCCCUGAACAUGCAUAAUUUCUUGCCCAGCACUGACAGCCCCUCUGCAGGUAGGACUGAGCUGAGACCCUCCAAAGUCAUAGUGCCAUGGAUGAUAAGGGAGGGCAGGCUCCGGAGCUGCUGUACAAGCCCAAGCCCAGGUGUCUUCUGACCAGUUGUUAAAGUUACAGAGCCCUCGUCAUGAUCCUGGGGUGGAAAGUGAUGUUCCUCCACUCUCCAUUUGUGGGUGUUGUGCAGUAACUUGGUUCACAGGCACUGUUAAUGGGGAGUGGGCAGCACAGAGAUUGGGGCAGACGGAGAUGGGAGCAGGGUCUGCCCGGUUCAUUUCCAGCACAAAUCACUCCUUUGCCAAAAGUAAGUGUUAAAUCCUGACAACAAACUCUCCUGGAGACUCAUCCCUCAGAUUAAAGGCAUGGACAAGUUUUGCAGUUAAAAAAAAAGUAAUGCAUUCACUUUGCUAAUGCACUGCUUGC